UUAGAUUCUUUCUCCCCAUUUUCUUAGAAAUCAUUAAUCAAAGCCCUUCUCUAGUCUGGCCGACUCUGCACUUCUCUGGUUCAAAGGCUGAAAUCCAUUUUCACCCAACCUGCCACUGAUUGACAGAGAAAUGUAUAGGUGUCUGCACUUGUGUUUAACUGAUUUGAGGGUUUAAAGAGCCACCCGUUGGACUCUGACCCUAGACGUGAGCCCAGCCCAGGACGGGAAAGACACAGAGCAUGAAUGUACCACAAGUACCUUCAGGGUCUCCUGAAAGGUCGGGUCCAGUGUGUUCUUUUGGACUGCAGUCUUGCGUUUUCCCUGAGAGGAUCGGUCAGGCAGCAGUUUUUGAGCUGAUAGAAAGGACUCAGGGACCAGGACUGACAUGAACAAUGUUAGUGCUGAGUGUACAGCUGCUGAUUCACAAGGUCAUGGCAAGGGGCUGGAGCUCCCGCUGCAUUGCUCAUCCCCUGCUCCUGGAACCUACAGCCCCCUCCUCCUCCUCGUCACCUGCCAUUUGAUGAGGACCAUGAAACGGGAUUCUCCAAUCUGCCUGGAUGUCCAGGCCACACACCAGCUUCCCCUGUCUGCACCUCCACCUGCAUUUCCUCCAAACAGUGGAAGUGGAAAUGGAAAGUUCCUGACUCCGGGGGCCUCAAAGGCUGCACUUCUUCUGACUGCUGAGGCAGUUUUGAACUUUCAUAUCCACAGGAUUGCAUACAGACAUUCUUUUACAACUUGUUUUUCCUCUCCAUGUGUUUGAGAUUUGCCUAUAUUGCUAUGUGUAGCUGCAGCUCAUUCAUUUACAUUCCUACACAUUGUUCCAUUGUAUGAAUAUGACACAAAUCAUUUAUCCUCGUGAGGAACCUUUGUCUUAUGCCUUAGUGUUUGCUUUAUAAACAAUUCUGCUAUGACCAUUCCACCAUGCAUGUGUGAGCGCUUCUCUAGGCACAAAACUAGAAGCGACAGGGCAAUGUGUUUCCCUCCACACCCACACCAGUGCUCAGGGUGGAACCCAGGGCCUUGGGCAUGGUGGGGAAGUACUCUACCACUGAGCUACACCCCCACCAGUAUGUGCAUUUUUAAUUUCAGCAAAUUAUGCCAAAUUACUAAUUCAAUUUCUUUAAAACAUUCAGGACUAUUUAAGCUUUCUAUUUCAUCUUGUGUCAAGCUUAGAAAAUUUGUGGUUUUUAAGAAAUGUGUCCAUUUCAUCUCAGUUAUUAAGUGGUGUUUUUGUUUGUUUGUUUGUUUGUUUGUUUGCUUGUUUUGUUUUUUUGUUUUUGUUUUUUUGGUGCCCAGGAUUGAACUCAGGGGCGCUCAACCACUGAUCCACAUCCCUAGCCCUAUUUCAUAUUUUAUUUAGAGACAGGGUCUCAAUGAGUUGCUUAGUGCCUCACCAAGGGUGAGGCUGGCUUUGAACUUGCCAUCCUCCCAUCUCAGCCUCCCAUGCCUCUGUGAUUACAGGUGUGCGCCACAGCACCCAGCUUCAGUUGUUAAGUUUUACAUAAUAUCCUCUUCUUAUUCAUUAAUGGAUAAGCUUUGCCACAGUGUCUCUUUUCUUUGGCAUUUGUAUAUUCUCUUUUUUAAAAUCUUGAUAAAAUUUACCUCAGUGUUUACCAAUUUUUCUAAUUUUUUUCGAAGAACUGACAUUUGGGUUCAUUAUUUUUUCUCUAUUGUUUUCUAUUUCAUUGAUUAUUGAUCUUAUCUUUACUAUUUCCAUCCUUCAGAAUAAAUUAAUUUUUUUUCUAGUGUUUUAAGUUGAAGGUUUAAAUGAUUCACUUUUAAUCUUUCUUUUUAAAUAGAAACACUACUUCAAAUGCAUUCUUCAAAUUUUAAAAUGUAAAAGUCAGGGGACAUUUUGGAACAUUCUUGGGUGUAUGAUAUAAGUAGAAGAAUAUUGCAAGUUAUAGACCAGAAGUAUAAGUAAGAUGGUUAUGGAGAACCUUAAGUGCUAUAGAAAUUUGUACUUUUUUUUUUCUGACACUGAAGAAACAUUGAAGGUAUAAGUACUAAUGUGAAAAACAGUUCUGUAGAAAAAUGUAUUCACAACCUCAGGUAACACAGAAUUCUACAUACAGACAGAUACACAUACACCAAAAAAAGAUUUUGUGUGUGUGUGUUUAUAUGCAUGUAUGUAUUAUGUAUGUGCUGCGGAUAGACCCCAGGGCUUUGUGCAUACUAAACAUAUACUCUACCAAUGAGCUGCACACCAGACAUCCCAAAGCAGAGAUUUUAGAGAAGAAGAUACACGAAUUAAUAUUAUCAAAAUUUCUACCAAGAAAAAUCAUCACAAAUAGGCUGGGGUUGUGGCUCGGUGGUAAUGUGCUUACUUGGCACAUGUGAGGCACUGGGUUCGAUCCUCAGUACCACAUAAAAAUAAAUAAAAAUAAAACAAAGAUAUUGUGUCCAUCUACAACUAAGAAAAAAUUUUUUAAAAAAAGAAAAAUCAUCACAAAGAGAUUAGAAAAUAAAGAAUAGCUGAGAUAACAUGUAUCAAAUAAGGCUGGCUGUGGCAAAGCAAACCUACAAUCCCAGCUAUUUGGGAGACUGAGGCAGGAGGAUCACAAGUUUGAGAACAGCCUCAGCAACUUAGCAAGACCCUGCCUCAAGAUAAAAAAUAAAAUGGGCUAGGCAUGUAUUUCAACAUCACUGGGCUCAAUCCCCAGUACCAAAACAAAAACAGACAAAAAAGUAACAUACAUAUAACCAAUGAAAAGCUUUUAAAACCUAUUCAAAAUAGGUUCUUGAAAAUAUUUUCCUUCUGAGUAUGGUGGCACAUGUCUAUAAUCCCAGCUAUUUGGUAGGCAGAGGCAGGAGGAUCACACAUAAAAAGGUCUGGGGAUGUAGCUGAGUGGUAGCAUCUGAAGUGAACUUUGCAUGUGGGAUACCCAGGUUCAAUCCCCAGCACCACACACACACACACACACACACUUAUAAUUUUCUUAUAAAUAAAUAAGAAAAUGACAAACUAAUAGAAAAAUGGGCCAAAGGUAUGAACAGAAUGUUCCCAGAAGGAGAAAUCUAAGAGGUCAAUGUGGGUGUGUAUGAAGCUGCUCGUCUUUAUUAGGUAAUCAGGGAUACACACAUUUAAAUAACGGUGAUACAACAUUUCUUAUCUAUUAGUUGGGGAAAAUUAAUCUGUUAAUGAAUUGUGUGAAACACAAUUCAUUUUGUUUUUCCUACACGGAAAGGCAAACUUUCCAACACCAUUUGUUGAUGUCCACCUUUCCUUCCUGAUUUGUAAUAGUCCCUUGCAAUAGACUGAAUGUUUAUGUG